rnacentral:tRNA from 1 species
GUUCCCGUAGUUGAGAACAACAAUGGCUUUUCA